GUAGGUGGCAAGCGUUGUCCGGAUUUACUGGGUGUAAAGGGCGUGCAGCCGGGCAUGCAAGUCAGAUGUGAAAUCUCAGGGCUUAACCCUGAAACUGCAUUUGAAACUGUAUGUCUUGAGUGCCGGAGAGGUAAUCGGAAUUCCUUGUGUAGCGGUGAAAUGCGUAGAUAUAAGGAAGAACACCAGUGGCGAAGGCGGAUUACUGGACGGUAACUGACGGUGAGGCGCGAAAGCGUGGGGAGCGAACAGGAUUAGAUACCCUGGUAGUCCACGCUGUAAACGAUGGAUACUAGGUGUGCGGGGACUGACCCCCUGCGUGCCGCAGUUAACACAAUAAGUAUCCCACCUGGGGAGUACGACCGCAAGGUUGAAACUCAAAGGAAUUGACGG
rnacentral:rRNA from 1 species